UACGAAGGGCUAGCGUUGCUCGGAAUCACUGGGCGUAAAGCGCACGUAGGCGGAUCUUUAAGUCAGGGGUGAAAUCCUGGAGCUCAACUCCAGAACUGCCUUUGAUACUGGGGAUCUCGAGUCCGGAAGAGGUGAGUGGAACUGCGAGUGUAGAGGUGAAAUUCGUAGAUAUUCGCAAGAACACCAGUGGCGAAGGCGGCUCACUGGCCCGGUACUGACGCUGAGGUGCGAAAGCGUGGGAGCAACAGG
rnacentral:rRNA from 1 species